AUGAACGCUGGCGGCGUGCCUAAUACAUGCAAGUCGCGCGAACAGACGAGGAGCUUGCUCCUCUGACGUUAGCGGCGGACGGGUGAGUAACCCGUGGAUAACCUACCUAUAAGACUGGGAUAACUUCGGGAAACCGGAGCUAAUACCGGAUAAUAUAUUGAACCGCAUGGUUCAAUAGUGAAAGACGGUUUUGCUGUCACUUAUAGAUGGAUCCGCGCCGCAUUAGCUAGUUGGUAAGGUAACGGCUUACCAAGGCAACGAUGCGUAGCCGACCUGAGAGGGUGAUCGGCCACACUGGAACUGAGACACGGUCCAGACUCCUACGGGAGGCAGCAGUAGGGAAUCUUCCGCAAUGGGCGAAAGCCUGACGGAGCAACGCCGCGUGAGUGAUGAAGGUCUUCGGAUCGUAAAACUCUGUUAUUAGGGAAGAACAAAUGUGUAAGUAACUAUGCACGUCUUGACGGUACCUAAUCAGAAAGCCACGGCUAACUACGUG
rnacentral:rRNA from 1 species